UUUGUUUCUCUUUUAUCACAGUCAGGAUGGCUAAAGGUGACCCCAAGAAACCAAAGGGCAAGAUGUCCGCUUAUGCCUUCUUUGUGCAGACAUGCAGAGAAGAACAUAAGAAGAAAAACCCAGAGGUCCCUGUCAAUUUUGCGGAAUUUUCCAAGAAGUGCUCUGAGAGGUGGAAGCGAUGUCCGGGAAAGAGAAAUCUAAAUUUGAUGAAAUGGCAAAGGCAGAUAAAGUGCGCUAUGAUCG
rnacentral:lncRNA from 1 species